CACACCCUUCCUCUCUUCUCUCAACAAACGAAAAACCCUAGCGCCGACCCCUUUAUUUUUUCUCUCUCCUCGCAUCGUCACACAUGCCGGAAAUGGCAAUAUUCACGGACCCACGAAGCGUUUACAGCCUUGGUAUGGCUCGUUGGGGCAAAGUAAUUAAUGCUCCACCCCUUUUCUGCCAAAACUCAACUAAACAGGUAUUUGUUUGCAUUUUCUUCUUACUUUUCUGCAAAUCAAUGGGCAAAAUAGUACCAAACCUUAAUGGUUCUUGUCUUGUUUCGUUUUUGAAUUGCGAAUUCUCAUUGGUUCACACGGAACCGAAUGGAUUGAUCCAACUUGGGACAAAUUUGACCCUUCAUACCUUUGUUGGCUUAUAUCUUAGCCAUUGAUUGACGAAUUAAGGGAUUUGUUCCAAAAAAAUUGGCCAGUCCCACAUCAAGUUGGGAUUAGGGUUUCUCAAUUUUAGGGUUGGAAUCCCAAUUCACAGUUUGCUAUGACCGAAUAUCUGAUAUUCACACAAAAACUCGAAAUACCUAGGGUCUUAGCAAUUUGCUUGAGACCUUUAAUUUUUCGAGUUAAGUUUAAGUUUUAAAAGUUUAGUUUUUGUUUUCUGGGUGUGUGGCUGAGCAAUUUGAGUGGAGGAGCAAGGAUCUCAAGUCCAUUCUCGACCAUUGGCUGCGCCUAAGAAAGGUGUAGUGCCAACUCUUUACAAACUCUGUCUACUAGAUAGUGUCCCUUCUGAAAUGUCAUUUGAUUCAUUUCCCUCCACAUAACAUAUACCACCAUUGCAAAGGAGCAACAUACACUAGGACCCUGGCCAGAUUUCUUCCUUGCCCAGCUUGCAACCCAUUAUACUUCUGUAUUCCAGGCACCAACUGUCCUCUGAAAACCUUGCCACAGCAGGACCUUUUGCCAAACAGUCCUAACAACAGCACAAUCAAAGAAUAUAUGGGAAAAGGUCUCAGUAGCCACACCACAGAAGACACAGAGAGGGUCUAUAUGUACAUAAAUACUAAAUUUCAUUAGUCUAUCCACAGUUGCCAAUCUUCUCAUCAGUGCAAGCCACACAACAAAUUUGUGCCUUGGAUGCACAUUAGGGUGCAAAGUAAUAUUGUUCCAAGGAACUCUUGGACACUGAGGGAGUAGUGCUACAUAUAUCUUUUUGGCAGAGAAUUUCCCAUCAGUGAUGACAGCCUCCAACCUCUCCUGAAGAGCACCUUGAAGAGCAGGUGCAGCUAGUACAAAUUCAGCUCUGUAUAUCAUUGGUGUAUAAACACUUGUAUAUCUAGUAUAGGUAUGGUAUAUCACUUAUGUGGAUUUGGAAUUGCUGUUUUGUCUUAUAAGUAGUAUAUAUUUGGGCCUGUUUCUUUGUGGUUCAUGACUAUGUUGGGCUUUUUUCUUGUAUUCAUUGUGAGUUAGGAUCUUUUCCUUUACCUGGGCUGCAUCUUUCAUCAUCCUAUUUCAAAUUGGGCUUGUGGUUAUAAUUUGGGCUGGUUGUUUUCUCUAUGUAUGCCAACUGCUUAAGGAUAUUGUUAUGCAUGCUUCGUAUAUACUUGGUAUACUUGUGUAGUUCAAUUUAUAUUAGAUGAAUGAACAAGUCCUAGAUA